rnacentral:rRNA from 1 species
UCAAAGCAGCGAUGUGGUUAAGNAUGGGCAUGCGUCCCAUUAGCUAGUUGGUGAGGUACCGGGCUCACCAAGNCGACGAUGGGUAGGGGUUCUGAGAGGAAGGUCCCCCACACUGGUACUGAGACACGGACCAGACUCCUACGGGAGGCAGCAGUAAGGAAUAUUGGGCAAUGGUCGGAAGACUGACCCAGCCAUGCCGCGUGCAGGAAGAAGGCCCUAUGGGUUGUAAACUGCUUUAGCCAGGGGCUAAACCUACCGAUGCGUUGGUAGCUGAAGGUACCUGGAGAAUAAGCAUCGGCUAACUCCGUGCCAGCAGCCGCGGUAAUACGGAGGAUGCGAGCGUUAUCCGGAUUUACUGGGUUUAAAGGGUGCGCAGGCGGUUGUUUAAGUCAGGGGUGAAAGCCCUAUGCUCAACAUAGGGAUUGCCUUUGAUACUGACCGGCUAGAGUGAAGAUGGAGUGGGUGGAAUGUGUUGUGUAGCGGUGAAAUGCAUAGAUAUAACACAGANCCCCGAUCGCGAAGGCAGCUCACUAAUUUUCAACUGACGCUCAUGCACGAAAGCGUGGGGAUCAAACAGGAUUAGAUACCCUGGUAGUCAA